rnacentral:rRNA from 1 species
AACGAACGCUGGCGGCAUGCCUAACACAUGCAAGUCGAACGAGACCUUCGGGUCUAGUGGCGCACGGGUGCGUAACGCGUGGGAACCUGCCCUUAGGUUCGGAAUAACUCCCCGAAAGGGGUGCUAAUACCGGAUAAUGUCUUCGGACCAAAGAUUUAUCGCCUUUGGAUGGGCCCGCGUUGGAUUAGCUAGUUGGUAGGGUAAAAGCCUACCAAGGCGACGAGCCAUAGCUGGUCUGAGAGGAUGAUCAGCCACACUGGGACUGAGACACGGCCCAGACUCCUACGGGAGGCAGCAGUGGGGAAUAUUGGACAAGGGGCGAAAGCCUGAUCCAGCAAUGCCGCGUGAGUGAUGAAGGCCUUAGGGUUGUAAAGCCCUCUUAACCGGGAUGAUAAUGACAGUACCGGGAGAAUAAGCUCCGGCUAACUCCGUG